rnacentral:rRNA from 1 species
CCUACGGGUGGCAGCAGUGGGGAAUAUUGGGCAAUGGGCGAAAGCCUGACCCAGCAACGCCGCGUGAAGGAAGAAGGCUUUCGGGUUGUAAACUUCUUUUAUGAGGGAAGAGCAGAAGACGGUAUCUCUUGAAUAAGUCAGCGCUAACUGUGUGACAGCAGGCGCGGUAAUACGUAGGUUGCAAGCGUUGUGCGGAGUUACUGGGUGUAAAGGGCGUGCAGCCGGGAAGACAAGUCAGAUGUGAAAUCCUGCGGCUGAACCGUGGAACUGCAUUUGAAAUUGUUUUUCUUGAGUAUCGGAGAGGACAGUGGAAUUCCUUGUGUAGCGGUGAAAUGCGUAGAUAUAAGGAAGAACACCAGUGGCGAAGGCGGAUGGCUGGACGGCAACUGACGGUGAGGCGCGAAAGCGUGGGGAGCAAACAGGAUUAGAUACCCCGGUAGUC